rnacentral:lncRNA from 1 species
CUCAUCAUUUGUAGGGCUGGAAGACGUUGGUGCUUCUCAGCCACGAGGGCCAUCAUGUGGGAUUCCUCUCUUCCAGCCACUGAAACCACAGCUGAGACGCUGGCUGGGACAACUCAGCUGCAACCAAAACCAUCCCAGUAGGAGGCUGAAGGAUGAAGAAAACGGUCCAGAGAGGUGCUGGUGUCCCCAGACCAGCUGUGGGGAAUCCUGA